UACGUAGGGGGCUAGCGUUGUCCGGAUUUAUUGGGCGUAAAGAGCUCGUAGGUGGUUCGGUAAGUCGGAUGUGAAAUCUCCAGGCUCAACCUGGAGGGGUCAUUCGAUAAUGCCGUGACUAGAGUUCGGUAGAGGAGUGUGGAAUUCCUGGUGGAGCGGUGAAAUGCGCAGAUAUCAGGAGGAACACCAAUUGCGAAGGCAGCUCGCUGGGACGUUACUGACGCUGAGACGCGAAAGCGUGGGGAGCAAACAGG
rnacentral:rRNA from 1 species